GUCGAGAAUCUUUCACAAUGGGGGCAACCCUGAUGGAGCGACGCCGCGUGGAGGAUAAGGUCUUCGGAUUGUAAACUCCUGUCAUGCGUGAACAAGGUUGCUUGGUUAAUACCUGGGCAAAUUGAUGGUAACGCAAGAGGAAGAGACGGCUAACUCUGUGCCAGCAGCCGCGGUAAUACAGAGGUCUCAAGCGUUGUUCGGAAUCACUGGGCGUAAAGGGUGCGUAGGUGGCGUGGUAAGUCAGAUGUGAAAGCCCGGGGCUCAACCUCGGAACUGCAUCCGAUACUGCCAUGCUAGAGUACUGGAGAGGUGACUAGAAUUCUCGGUGUAGCAGUGAAAUGCGUAGAUAUCGAGAGGAAUACCAAAGGCGUAGGCAGGUCACUGGACAGUUACUGACACUGAGGCACGAAGGCCAGGGGAGCAAACAGGAUUAGAAACCCCGGUAGUCC
rnacentral:rRNA from 1 species